UACGGGGGGGGCAAGCGUUGUUCGGAAUUACUGGGCGUAGAGGGCUCGUAGGUGGCCAACUAAGUCAUACGUGAAAUCCCUCGGCUUAACCGGGGAACUGCGUCUGAUACUGGAUGGCUUGAGAUUGGGAGAGGGAUGCGGAAUUCCAGGUGUAGCGGUGAAAUGCGUAGAUAUCUGGAGGAACACCGGUGGCGAAGGCGGCAUCCUGGACCAACACUGACACUGAGGAGCGAAAGCGUGGGGAGCGAACAGG
rnacentral:rRNA from 1 species